rnacentral:rRNA from 1 species
CCUACGGGAGGCAGCAGUGGGGAAUAUUGGGCAAUGGGCGCAAGCCUGACCCAGCAACGCCGCGUGAAGGAAGAAGGCUUUCGGGUUGUAAACUUCUUUUAAGGGGGAAGAGCAGAAGACGGUACCCCUUGAAUAAGCCACGGCUAACUACGUGCCAGCAGCCGCGGUAAUACGUAGGUGGCAAGCGUUGUCCGGAUUUACUGGGUGUAAAGGGCGUGCAGCCGGAGGGACAAGUCAGAUGUGAAAUCCACGGGCUCAACCCGUGAACUGCAUUUGAAACUGUUUCCCUUGAGUGUCGGAGAGGUAAUCGGAAUUCCUUGUGUAGCGGUGAAAUGCGUAGAUAUAAGGAAGAACACCAGUGGCGAAGGCGGAUUACUGGACGAUAACUGACGGUGAGGCGCGAAAGCGUGGGGAGCAAACAGGAUUAGAUACCCCUGUAGUC